rnacentral:rRNA from 1 species
UACGGAGGGUGCGAGCGUUGUCCGGAAUCAUUGGGCGUAAAGGGCGCGUAGGUGGCCCGGUCAGUUCGUGGUGAAAGCGCGGGCUCAACCCUGCGUCGGCCAUGAAUACUGCCGCGGCUGGAGCACUGUAGAGGCAGGCGGAAUUCCGGGUGUAGCGGUGGAAUGCGUAGAGAUCCGGAAGAACACCGGUGGCGAAGGCGGCAUCCUGGGACCGACACUGACGCUGAGGAGCGAAAGCCAGGGGAGCAAACGGG